rnacentral:rRNA from 1 species
AUGGCCGUUUCCUCUUGUUUCCCGUUGGCUGCUCGCUGUAGCCUCUUGCUCACCGCAGCGCUGGUCCUAGCGCUGAGCCAUGGAGCCCAUGGUCAUGCCGGUGCCGGUGCUGGGUUGAGCUCGUCCUUUUACGACGACUCGUGCCCCAGUGCGCAUGACAUUGUCCGGCGCGUCAUCCAGAAUGCCCGUGUCGCCGACGCACGCAUCCCAGCCAGCCUCAUCCGCCUCCACUUCCACGACUGCUUUGUUCAGGGCUGUGAUGGCUCACUUUUGCUGGACAACGACCUCCCGGCGAUCAUGACCGAGAAGGAGGUCCUUGCCAACAACAGGUCAGUGCGCGGGUUUGAUGUGAUUGACGACAUCAAGCAUGCACUCGAGAAUGCGUGCCCCGGCAUCGUGUCUUGUGCCGACAUUCUCGCUCUCGCCUCCGAGAUCUCAGUCGAGCUAGCUGGAGGGCCUCGCUGGAGUGUGCCGUUGGGCCGCCGUGAUGGCACGGCCACCAAUGUUGAGAGCGCCAACAAUCUCCCAAGCCCCUUCGACUCUCUGCAGACGCUCUAG